rnacentral:rRNA from 1 species
CCCGCUGAACUUAAGCAUAUCAAUAAGCGGAGGAAAAGAAACUAACAAGGAUUCCCUUAGUAACUGCGAGUGAAGAGGGAAGAGCUCAAAUUUAAAAUCGGGCAUCUGUCCGAGUUGUAAAUUAGAGAAGUGUUAUCUGCGCUGAACUGUGCAUAAGUCUCUUGGAAAAGGGCAUCAUAGAGGGUGACAAUCCCGUCUUUGGCACAGACUCUCAGGGCUUUGUGAUGCACUCUCAAUGAGUCGAGUUGUUUGGGAAUGCAGCUCUAAAUGGGUGGUAAAUUCCAUCUAAAGCUAAAUAUUGGCGAGAAACCGAUAGCGCACAAGUACCGUGAGGGAAAGAUGAAAAGUACUUUGAAAAGAGAGUUAAACAGUACGUGAAAUUGUUGAAAGGGAAACACUUGAAGUCAGACAUGUCCUUCAGAAAUCAACCUGACCGUCAGGUCUGGUGCACUUUCUGCUUGGAUGGGUCAGCAUCAAUUUUGAUCAUUGGACAAAGGUUAAGGGAAAGUGGCAUCUUUGGAUGUGUUAUAGCCCUUGGUCAUAUACAAUGGUUGGGAUUGAGGAUUGCAGUGCUUUCGGGUACUAAGGAUGCUGGCAUAAUGGCUUUAAUUGACCCGUCUUGAAACACGG